AACAGUGAGAAAUUUUCAUGAUUACUGAGAAGCACUUGCACAGCGUCAAGGCAUUUUCUGUUUCUCUCACCUCCCCAUCAGCAGCUGGGCUGGGGAGCACAAGGAUCUGUGAGGGGACAGAGCCAGGAUGGCUGACCUCGGGAUGUCACAUACCAUAUGGCAUCAUGCUCUACAUAUAAAGCUGGGGGAAGAAAGAGGAAGGUGGGACGCUGCUGCUUGUUUUCCUAAGUUAUCUGAUCCAUCCUUCUGACGGAGCCCAGCUUUCCUGGAGAUGCCUGAACAACUGCCUGCCUAUGGAAAGUGGUGUUCAGAAUAAUGAUGUCAACUGUUAUUCAUAUUCUUGCUUUGUGUGGAUGGAGUUUCUAACUGAUCCAGGUUUCAACAGGGAAGAGCAGUGAGCACAAAGACAGGAAGAAAAGGGGGCUUGAUCUUUCUUUGGUCCUGGAGCAGAGCACCCUGAAAUGGGUGAGGAGGUCCCUGAAGCCACACUCAGUGGGCAGCAAGCACAACCUUGUGCUUCGUAGUUGUCCAAGAACUGCGACCAGGGCCCUUGAAUUCAAAUGCUAUUGAUCACCUUCUGAAGCAAAACCAGUGGAACAGGAAGUUAGCUGGAGCCGUCGAGCUGCUGCUUCCACAACAGUAGCACAAUCCUUUGUGCAUUUCUGUGACUUUUGUGACACUGAGAGUGUGGGAAUUCAGUGGAGUGGAAAUGAAAGCCAGCAGUGUGAACUGCAAUAUGACAGCAGACUUACUGGAGGCGUUGCUCAGCUCUCAGUCUGCAUUUCUCGAGCUGACCAUUGGUGACUUGUGGAUAGCGCAGGUGCUCCCGUGUGAAACUGACCCACCUGUGUCCAUCCCAUGCCUGCACUUCUCCAGACCAUCUCCUGUGCUCCACUUGCCAAGGUGCUCUCAUGCCAUGUCCUUUACAGAGAGUAUCUGCAUAAAACUAUUGUACCAUAGAAAGAUAAGCAAAGAUAAAGCAAAUUAAGCAUAACCACACGGUCGUUUCGAAAAUUUCUAUUCUAGUUAAGCUAGGAAAUUGCAGGCAGCUCAAGAAAAGCUUAGACAAAGUAAACUUGGAAAACGGCUCCUGAGGCCUUGCUAACUCAAUACUGCUGCUAGCAUGGCAAUACACUAUGUACUGGGCAACACGGCUACCCUGCACCAACUACGAAAUCAUGUAUGUCUGCGGGUUUUCGGGGUCCUGGCUGCUGCCGGGAGCCCCGAACCUGGGGGGGUGCGGGUGGACCCCUCCUCGGCGCGUCCCGCCGCCAUCACACACGGUGUCGGAUGACGAAAUGUCGGCACGACCAGGUACAAGGCAGGGCGCGGAGAUUCCAGUGUUGUUCCAACACGCUUUUAAUGUCGGGGAGUCUGAGGGCGCAGGCGGGAAAGGAAAGCGGGGUACACCGCAGCUGAAAGGUACCGGAGUCGG